UCGGGUGAGGCAAGCGUUGUUCGGAAUUACUGGGCGUAAAGCGCGCGUAGGCGGCUUUGCAAGUCGGGUGUGAAAUCCCCAGGCUUAACCUGGGAACUGCAUUCGAGACUGCAUUGCUAGAGUAUGGGAGAGGGAAGUGGAAUUUCAGGUGUAGCGGGGAAAUGCGUAGAUAUCUGAAGGAACAUCAGUGGCGAAAGCGACUUCCUGGACAAAGACUGACGCUCAU
rnacentral:rRNA from 1 species